AACGAACGCUGGCGGCAUGCCUAACACAUGCAAGUCGAACGAUUGCCUUCGGGUGAUAGUGGCGCACGGGUGCGUAACGCGUGGGAAUCUGCCCUUAGGUUCGGAAUAACAGCUGGAAACGGCUGCUAAUACCGGAUGAUAUCGCGAGAUCAAAGAUUUAUCGCCUGAGGAUGAGCCCGCGUUGGAUUAGGUAGUUGGUGGGGUAAAGGCCUACCAAGCCGACGAUCCAUAGCUGGUCUGAGAGGAUGAGCAGCCACACUGGGACUGAGACACGGCCCAGACUCCUACGGGAGGCAGCAGUGGGGAAUAUUGGACAAUGGGCGCAAGCCUGAUCCAGCAAUGCCGCGUGAGUGAUGAAGGCCCUAGGGUUGUAAAGCUCUUUUACCCGGGAAGAUAAUGACUGUACCGGGAGAAUAAGCCCCGGCUAACUCCGUG
rnacentral:rRNA from 1 species